AUUGAACGCUGGCGGCAGGCUUAACACAUGCAAGUCGAGCGGGGAAAGGUAGCUUGCUACUUUACCUAGCGGCGGACGGGUGAGUAAUGCUUAGGAAUCUGCCUAUUAGUGGGGGACAACAUCUCGAAAGGGAUGCUAAUACCGCAUACGUCCUACGGGAGAAAGCAGGGGACCUUCGGGCCUUGCGCUAAUAGAUGAGCCUAAGUCGGAUUAGCUAGUUGGUGGGGUAAAGGCCUACCAAGGCGACGAUCUGUAGCGGGUCUGAGAGGAUGAUCCGCCACACUGGGACUGAGACACGGCCCAGACUCCUACGGGAGGCAGCAGUGGGGAAUAUUGGACAAUGGGGGGAACCCUGAUCCAGCCAUGCCGCGUGUGUGAAGAAGGCCUUUUGGUUGUAAAGCACUUUAAGCGAGGAGGAGGCUACCGAGAUUAAUACUCUUGGAUAGUGGACGUUACUCGCAGAAUAAGCACCGGCUAACUCUGUGC
rnacentral:rRNA from 1 species